CAUUACAGUUCAGUAAGUGAGUCAAAUGUGAAUGCAUUGAAUAAAUCGAAUGGAUAACGAGAGUCUGGGAGUUUGUUUCAGUAAUCGGUUCAUAAGAGUCAUUCAUUUGUGAAUUAGCCUACUGUACAGUGGUCAAGCUCGAUGUUUGCUAAGGCUCCCAGUUACUUAGGACUUAAAGGGGUGAGAAAACUGUUGUUCAUUUUUAUUUAUAAUGUUUCAUACAGGAGAGAAGCCAGUCAGCCGAGUUUGUGGCAAAACCUUUUACAGUGCUUGUAUAUUGUUGUCUUUUACGGCAUAUGUUAAUUCAUUCUCAGAAAGUAGAACUGAAAUGACAACUACAAUGAAAACUGAAAAUAUAAAAAUAAAAA